rfam:Hordeum vulgare subsp. vulgare, WGS project CAJW01000000 data, contig: morex_contig_135904
UCCAAGGUUCUCACAUAUAGAACCACCAAGAUUAUCAAGGAAUAGUUAU